CCUAUACCCAAAUUUUUGUUCUCCUUCCCCAAACCCUAAACCUCUUCUUACACACCACCUCUUUGUUCUCUAUUUCUCUCCCUCAUCUCUCUUCUCUACCCUUUCAACCUCUGAUUUGUUUUUCAAUCAAACCCGUUAAAACCCUAAACAUCAGAGUCAAUCACGUAGCCACUGAAUCAUCAUCACCAACAUUGAUCGUUCGUGCUAAUUUUUCUAUUAUAUACUAUCCUUUGUGAUGAAGCAGAGGGUAAAAGUGAAUGUUGCCCCAAAAUCUCCCGGUUCAAUUUCUCAAGAAUUCCUUGGUACAGAGCUACAGCCAUGCUUAGCAUGCCAUCAACCUCAUUGAAAUUUAUGUUGCAUAAAGGAUAUAAGAAAGUUGUGUUGUUUUCACCUUGCAAUGGCAAAGACAAGAUUUAGCAAAAUAAGUACAGCCUCCAAAGUUUUAUUCAGCAAAAAUAUAAUCAGGAUGAGAUUUUGAUUGGUUUCUCAUGUCAGGUGGUUUCUUUUACCCAAAUUUGUGUUGUGGACUUUUAUUAUUGCCCAUAAUCCAUCCUAUGAUCCUUGCUUGACACUUGAGGUUAGAAGAAAAGGAGAGAGCCCCCCUUUUAAAUUUUUUUUUUUUAUUCCGUAGCUGUUUUCAACCAGACAAGACUUGGUUUUUGGGCAUUAAUUGUAAGGCCAUGAAAGUUCUUAAAUUGAAGGAUUUACAUUGGCAACUGCUUAUUCUUAACUUAAAUUUGUUAAGAUUCUCAUCCCUUUUUUAGUCAAUUUGUAUUCUCCUUAUAUUUUCCCCCAUUUUGCUCUUGCUUUAACAUUCUGUACUAUUAUGGGUUAAAAAAAAAAUUAUAAUAUG